rnacentral:lncRNA from 10 species
GCCUUUCAAAAUUUUUAAUAAACAUGGAAUCUUGCUAUGCUGGCCAGGCUGGUCUUGAACUGCUAGCCUCAAGCGAUCCUCCCUCCUUGGCCUCUCAAAAUGUUGGGAUUAUAGGCGUGAACCACUGUAACCAGCCUCAAGACAGGCUUUCUAAGACACAAGAUUCCGCGUGUCAACUGUAUCCACGGAAACCAUUCCUUAGUUUAUUGUCACCGCCAUUCCUAACUCUGAUGUGAAAAUCCCUGCGUUCAUCAACAUAACCCAGUUAGGGUCGCACUCAUCACGGGGCCCCCAUUGCCUCUGGCGCACCCCACGACUGACAUCUGCGGGGCCUUCGCGCUAGGCUUCGAGUUUCAGCUUCCGCACCAGGCCUGCCUUUCUGCAGGGGCCAGGGUGGGGGUCGUGUGCUGAUUGGGCCCUCUGAACCGCCACCGCUGCAGAGGGGCUGUUCCUUCCGUCACAUCCCUUGUGCCCGAAUCCACCCUGUGUCUUCUCUUUUCUCAGCAGGACAUUUUAAAAGCCCAGACCCCCUCCUUACAGAGCAAAUGUCCAGGCUUCGGAGGUCACUGUCACAUCCCAAGAACCCCCUUCACCAGGUGCCACUCUUGAGACUGGACUGAAGCCCCCUGGAGAGUUCCACUUGCCUUUGUCCUGCUGCCUGAGAUGAGGGCAUGGACAGCCGGGUACAAGACGGGACAGGCAACCUCGCAGUGGUGGUAACCCUGUGCAUGAACCCUGGGCCUGGCACGUGGACCUCCUGUGACCGUCCCCACAGGCCCGUGAGGCUGAGCUUGGCACUGCCCAAGACCACACAGUCCAUGCGCAGUGGAGCUGGGGUCCAGGCUGCCCACCAGGGCAGUGACUGCAAUGGUGGCAGCAGGGGACAGUCACCAUGGUGAGCUCAAGCCAGGCGCUGCACUGACCUUGAGGGAGGGCUCCAUGCUUCCCCUUCCCACAGCUGCAGUGAGGGCUAGGAGAGCAGGGUCGGCUGCAGGCUUGAGUCCUGGGGUGCCUCUGGGCUGACGGGCCCUGCCUGACCUGCUCCUCCAGUGCCCCAGCCCUGCCCCACCCACGUCCCCUCCUCUCACUGCCCCCUGGCCCACUCCGCUGCGGUCUCAGUGCCUUCCCAGGCUGGGCAUCAUCUGAUGGGAGGAAAAUGAGGGCCCCAGACUCUGUGUCAUCCUGGCAGGACCCCUCCCCUCCCAUGGCUUUGAGCCCAUGAGAUGGCCUUGGACAAAGCGGCAAUGGGCCCUUCCUGAGACACAGUGCGGCCAUCUACUGGGAAACUGCCCAGUGUGACUCUGAUGACUGUGAUGUGAAUCCCACAGCAAAGUUGAGCAGUGCGCAACCUGGGCUACUGCACCUGGCAGCCCUGGCUCCUCCUCCUCUGCCUCUUCCUGCUCCUUCAUUCUCCCCCAGAGCUCUAAUUGUCACUGAGAUUUUAUGUUUCGUUUAACAAAUGACUGUCUCCCCGCUUGAACAGAACCUCCAUGGGGGGAGGGAAGAGUGUCUGUUGUAUAAAUAGUUGUAUUUCAGUGCAUAAAACAGUGCCUGCCUCAAA